GACGAACGCUGGCGGCGUGCUUAACACAUGCAAGUCGAACGGAAAGGCCCUGCUUUUGUGGGGUGCUCGAGUGGCGAACGGGUGAGUAACACGUGAGUAACCUGCCCUUGACUUUGGGAUAACUUCAGGAAACUGGGGCUAAUACCGGAUAGGAGCUCCUGCUGCAUGGUGGGGGUUGGAAAGUUUCGGCGGUUGGGGAUGGACUCGCGGCUUAUCAGCUUGUUGGUGGGGUAGUGGCUUACCAAGGCUUUGACGGGUAGCCGGCCUGAGAGGGUGACCGGCCACAUUGGGACUGAGGUACGGCCCAGACUCCUACGGGAGGCAGCAGUGGGGAAUAUUGCACAAUGGGCGGACGCCUGAUGCAGCAACGCCGCGUGCGGGAUGACGGCCUUCGGGUUGUAGACCGCUUUCGCCUGUGACGAAGCGUGAGUGACGGUAAUGGGUAAAGAAGCACCGGCUAACUACGUG
rnacentral:rRNA from 1 species